rnacentral:misc_RNA from 1 species
AAGUCGUAACAAGGUUUCCGUAGGUGAACCUGCGGAAGGAUCAUUAAUGAGUUAGGGUCUUCUAGGCCCGACCUCCCACCCUAUGUUUACUUGACCCUUGUUGCUUCGGCGGACCCGUCUUGGUAAAACGAGACCGCCGGAGGACGUCUUUCGAGACGUUCUCUGGCCCGUGUCCGCCGGGGACAAACACCUAAAAAUUCUUGAAUUAUCAACCAUGUCUUCUGAAUUAUAAUUAUAAAUUAAACAAAACUUUCAACAACGGAUCUCUUGGUUCUG